CAAGUGGUUAGCGCACUUGCCUUUCACCUCUGCAUGGGGCUGCAGGUUCGAGUCUCACUAAGUACCUUCUCAGUGCGACUCGAACCCAGUCCCCAUGUGAAAAGAGUAAAAAAAAGUCAACACUCUGCCGAAAGCCGUGGGUUUUCCCCGGGUACUCCGGUUUCCUCCCACAGGGAAAGUUGACAGGGUGGGUUAGGUAAAAAAAAAAAGAGUAAUUGGCAUAUGCUGUUGUGGUGACACUGCCCUAGUUGGCACUAGC
rnacentral:lncRNA from 1 species